UACGUAGGGGGCAAGCGUUGUUCGGAAUUACUGGGCGUAAAGGGCGCGUAGGCGGCACAGCAAGUCGGAAGUGAAAGCCCGGGGCUCAACCCCGGAAUGUCUUUCGAAACUGCUGAGCUAGAGUGCAGAAGAGGCAACUGGAAUUCCCAGUGUAGCGGUGAAAUGCGUAGAUAUUGGGAAGAACACCUGAGGCGAAGGCGGGUUGCUGGGCUGACACUGACGCUGAGGCGCGAAAGCGUGGGGAGCGAACAGG
rnacentral:rRNA from 1 species